UACAGAGGUCUCAAGCGUUGUUCGGAUUCAUUGGGCGUAAAGGGUGCGUAGGCGGCGCGGUAAGUCGGGUGUGAAAUCUCGGAGCUUAACUCCGAAACUGCAUUCGAUACUGCCGUGCUUGAGGACUGGAGAGGAGACUGGAAUUUACGGUGUAGCGGUGAAAUGCGUAGAUAUCGUAAGGAAGACCAGUGGCGAAGGCGGGUCUCUGGACAGUUACUGACGCUGAGGCACGAAGGUCAGGGGAGCAAACAGG
rnacentral:rRNA from 1 species